GUGGCCUAAACCUGGUUUAAACCAUGGACUAUCUUUUUCGCUAUUCUCGAAGGUGGCCUAAAGAUAAGCCAGGCUUAAAUACGUCAUAGUUCGGCCUAACUUUAGGCCGCUCAGAGGGCAGGUUUAAAUACGUCAUAGUUCGGCCUAACUUCGCGUGACGUCACGUUUUAGUUAAAUCGAGUGUCCGCGGAGAGUGAACGGUAAGUUUUGCAUUUGAAUUUCUAUAUUUGAUAACAAUUUACACUCUUUUGCAUGGAUAAGCGCUCAUGAAAGUUACACCAGCUAAUAAAAUAUUUUUGUUACUUUCAUUUUGCUGUACUGGUGAUAAUCUAAAAUGCUUUUAACUGAAUAAAUUUGGGAGAAACUUGGUUAAUUUUCAUGGUGAUUGCAGACCAGUCCCAUACGUGCAAAUAAUUGUCGGUUAACAUUUUCGUUUCCUGAGAUUGAGCAAUUUCUUACCGGGUAAUUUUUUUCUGGCCACUAUUGUACUUUCGUACGCAUAUACCAUCUUAACACCACCUUAAAAAUAUCAUUGCUAGACGUAGAAACUACUUUUAUAGUUGAUUUUCGAGACGCUGUUGCCUAAAAGUGGACUAGCACUAGGCCUAGGCCUAAAUCUAGAUCUGGCUGUCGCUUUCGUUCGUUAGCCUCUGAUUUGGGUAGGAUCUUUUUCAGGAGCCGACCCUACCCAAAUCAGAGGCUAAUGAACGAAAAAGACGGAAAUUUCGGUCUGGUAACACCUCUGCCUGAGCUGCAGUGCUAGUUGUGGCUGUUGUUGGGAUAAUUUUCUACAGGAUGAUGAUGAUUUUCAUAACCACCCACCCCCCCCCCCCCCCUCCCCAAGAAAUCUAAAUUUCAUCAAUAAGAGUCUAGUCUUGACAGGUCUUAUAGGAAUUGAAAGGAAAUGGACAGAAGCUUCCUUUUUUGACAUAUACAUUUGCUGAUAAUGGUACAGUAGACCUAGCUUACUAUUAGUAAACUACAGAGAAAGAGAAAUUGUAAUUUCUUAUCAAAUAUCAACAUAUUUUUCAUCUUGAUUUUCUGCUAUUUCAGGUUCUUUUCAAUUGAUGCAUGGGGAUGAAAAAAGAAGGCCUCUCCCAAGCUACUGUGACCCGCCUUGUGAAGUCCAUCUCAAUAGCCAUUGCCAGGAGAUCGGAGCAAUACAUCUCAAUUCUUUCAACAAGAGAGGCAGUCCUGCAGAGUGAAGACCCAACAUGAAUUUUAUAAUUACUGCCAUUUCCCUGGCGUAAAUAUGGUUGGUGCUAUUGAUUGCACCCACAUAGGCGUCUCCACGCCAGUUGGCCCAACACCAGUUAUUUCCUGAACAGGAAAAAUAGAUACUCCAUUUUUCUUGGAAAGUCUGCUGGAUGAUGUUCUUCUUCAGUAAAAUAAAUGAAGGCAAAUAACCUGAUGAUUAAGACAAAUUCAGAGAGAGGAAGGGGAACUACUGAGCUGCUGAAUUUCUGAGAGACAUACUUGCGGGGACUAUGAAGUUCUACUUAGCCUAUUCAAUGAACCAAACUCCAUCUGCUGUAACUGUGACUGCAUGGGGAUCAAAACCUUUGUAGUAUAAUCCUCAUAACAUGAAGCUAUGGUAACAAACAAGCAACCAUUGAUAAUAAGCCUGAUAUGUCCUUGUUGUGUGUGUGAACCACAAAGCAACCAUUACUCAUAAGGAUGUUUUUAUGUACAUCAGAUGUUUACUGUUUAACUGGAAAAAUUGUGAUUUUAAGCCAUUUAAGAAAUUAUGUUUUGUAAUGUGUUUUAUAAUAUAGUGCAAGUCAUGAUAUAACAGAUUCCCUGCAAAAGAAACACGGCUCAAAAGUAGACUAUGCUUUGUUUUAAAAAAAUGGGA